rnacentral:rRNA from 1 species
UUAGAUACCCCACUAUGCCUAGCCGUAAACAUCGAUAAUUAGAUACCCACAUUAUCCGCCCGGGGAUUACGAGCACCAGCUUAAAACCCAAAGGACUUGGCGGUGCUUUAGACCCACCUAGAGGAGCCUGUUCUAGAACCGAUACCCCCCGUUCAACCUCACCCCUCCUUGUUCCUUCCCGCCUAUAUACCGCCGUCGUCAGCUUACCCUGUGAAGGCAUAAAAGUAAGCAGAAUUGGCACAGCCCAAAACGCCAGGUCGAGGUGUAGCGUAUGGAGGGGGAAGAAAUGGGCUACAUUCACUAAUUCAGUGAAUACGGAUAGCGCACUGAAACGUGCGCAUUGAAGGAGGAUUUAGCAGUAAGUGGAAAAUAGAGUGUUCCACUGAAGUCGGCCCUGAAGCGCGUACACACCGCCCGUCACCCUCUGCAGU